UACGGAGGGUGCGAGCGUUGUCCGGAAUCACUGGGCGUAAAGGGCGCGUAGGUGGGCGCGGGAAGUCUUCGGUGAAAGCUCAGGGCUCAACCCUGAGUCGGCCGGCGAUACUCCCGUGCUCGAGCUCACUAGAGGCAGAUGGAAUUCCGGGCGUAGCGGUGGAAUGCGUAGAGAUCCGGAAGAACACCGGUGGCGAAGGCGAUCUGCUGGGGUGAUGCUGACACUGAUGCGCGACAGCGUGGGGAGCAAACAGG
rnacentral:rRNA from 1 species